UAAGAAGAAAAAGAGCAAAGAUAAGAGAAAAAGAGAAGAUGAAGAAACCCAGCUUGAUAUUGUUGGAAUCUGGUGGACAGUAGCAAACUUUGGUGAAAUUUCGGGAACCAUAGCCAUUGAAAUGGAUGAGGGAACCUAUAUACAUGCACUCGACAACGGUCUUUUUACCUUGGGAGCUCCACACAAAGAAGAUGUUUUUUCUCCAAUAGUUGAUGAGUCCUCCAGAGCAGUUUAUGGCUGUCAAAUUAUCUGAUUCCAGAAUCGCCCUGAAAUCUGGCUAUGGACAAUAUCUUGGUAUAAAUUCAGAUGAACUUGUUGGGCGUUUAGAUGCAAUU